UAAAAUUUUAAAAAAUAAUGUGGAAUUGUAAUGAAGCGUGGUGGCUGUUUGGGAUUUGCAAGAAGAGUUGCAUCUGGCUCUUGAUAAGUCAAUCCCAUCCUUGUGGCAACCUCUAGUAGCAGGAUAAGCCAUAAGGGGAAAAUGUUUUAUCCUUUUAAGGGUGAAACCUCGACUUCUAACGUUAAUCUUCUUUAAGAAUGAUAGUGAAAUGCCAAAGCCGAGUCUUAGAUAUGAAGUCACUUUCAAAAGGGUGGAUUAUUGCACCGAGACAUAAGCGCAUUACUUCUAGCCUUCCACAUUCAAAUGUGGCCAUGACUCAUAAAGAUAAGGAAUAAACGCUACGAGUGAUUUCUAAAGAGUAAACAUAAUCAUGCUAAAUAUGAAAAAUGUUUGCAUCCAAUGACAUUUGACAUGUUGUAAAUUUAUUGAUAUUAAUCAGUUCAAUGGGUCCAGCAUCAGUUCAAUUCUUUUAAAUUAUAAAAUUAAAUACAAGAUCUCAAUCGAAUUAUUAAAUAUACAAGUUGUAAUUUUGAAAAGUAAAGCACAUAAUACAAGAGUUUUUUUUUUCAUUUUUUUUGGGUGCUAUUUACACCCUAAAAGAUACUAUAAAUACCCAUAUUUAAUCAAUGUUUUUACUAUUUUAACUCCAUAUUUAUGAUGAGAACGUACAUAAGCGCAAAUUUGCACAUUUAAGAUUACAAAAGCUGUGGGAUAACAUGUUGGUCCUGUUUGGGAUUGAGGUUGAAAUUUAAUAAGCUGCUUAUUUCAUAAUUUUUGAUAAAAAUAAUGUUCGGUAAAUUUUAUAAAAGCAGCUCAUAAUUUCCUCCAUUUCAUCAGUAGCUUUAAAAAGCAUGUACAUGAUUGCUUUUAAUAAG
rnacentral:lncRNA from 1 species